AAGCUGGAAUCGCUAGUAAUCGCGGAUCAGAAUGCCGCGGUGAAUACGUUCCCGGGUCUUGUACACACCGCCCGUCACACCAUGGGAGUCGGAAAUGCCCGAAGUCUGUGACCCAACCUACGGGAGGGAGCAGCCGAAGGCAGGUCGGAUGACUGGGGUGAAGUCGUAACAAGGUACC
rnacentral:rRNA from 1 species